AUGCAGCGUGUGUGAAGAAGGCCUUCGGGUUGUAAAGCACUUUAUGUCCGGAAAGAAAUCCCUGGUCCUAAUAUGGCCGGGGGAUGACGGUACCGGAAGAAUAAGCACCGGCUAACUACGUGCCAGCAGCCGCGGUAAUACGUAGGGUGCAAGCGUUAAUCGGAAUUACUGGGCGUAAAGCGUGCGCAGGCGGUGAUGUAAGACCGAUGUGAAAUCCCCGGGCUCAACCUGGGAACUGCAUUGGUGACUGCAUCGCUUGAGUAUGGCAGAGGGGGGUAGAAUUCCACGUGUAGCAGUGAAAUGCGUAGAGAUGUGGAGGAAUACCGAUGGCGAAGGCAGCCCCCUGGGUCAAUACU
rnacentral:rRNA from 1 species